UUAUAUGAGCUGGGGUGCCUUUUGGCUGAGAAAUACCCAUGAGACCUGAUCUGGAUAAUGCCAGCGUAGGGAGCUUAAAUCCAUUGUUU
rnacentral:ncRNA from 2 species